GAUAUUGAAUAUUGUUCCCUAUGCUACAUAGAAGGUGAAGUUAACAGUGAAACCUCGACGAUGGUAGAGCCACAAGAUGGAAGGAUCAAGGGCCUGUGAAUCACCAAGUGAAGUGAAGUCAUCUGCUGGUUGAAAACACACACUUCAGACACUUACAUGCAGAAGAAACCUCUGUUGUAUUUGAAUGAUGACAUUUGUUACAACUGUUCUGUCUCAUUCCAGUGAGUACAACUCCCAGAGUCUUAGUUUUCUUAUUUAAAAAAAAAAAAAAGGAAGGAUAUCAAUAUCUACCUCAGGAAAAAAAAAAAAGGGGAGGAUA